ensembl:lncRNA
GAGGCAUUGGGUCCAGAGAGACAGACAGAGAGUGAGACAGUAGAGAGUGAGACGGAGAGACAGACAGAUUAAGGGGAUGACGGAGGCAUUGGGUCCAGAGAGACAGACGGAGAGACAGACAGAUUAAGUGGAUGACGGAGGCAUUGGGUCCAGAGAGACAGACAGAUUAAGGGGAUGACGGAGGCAUUGGGUCCAGAGAGACAGACAGAUUAAGGGGAUGACGGAGGCAUUGGGUCCAGAGAGACAGACAGAUUAAGGGGAUGACUGAGGCAUUGGGUCCAGAGAGUGAGACAGUAGAGAGUGAGACGGAGAGACAGACAGAUUAAGGGGAUGACGGAGGCAUUGGGUCCAGAGAGACAGACAGAUUAAGUGGAUGACGGAGGCAUUGGGUCCAGAGAGACAGACAGAUUAAGUGGAUGACGGAGGCAUUGGGUCCAGAGAGACAGACAGAUUAAGUGGAUGACGGAGGCAUUGGGUCCAGAGAGACAGACAGUGAGACAGUAGAGAGUGAGACGGAGAGACAGACAGAUUAAGGGGAUGACGGAGGCAUUGGGUCCAGAGAGACAGACAGUGAGACAGUAGAGAGUGAGACGGAGAGACAGACAGAUUAAGGGGAUGACGGAGGCAUUGGGUCCAGAGAGACAGACAGAUUAAGGGGAUGACGGAGGCAUUGGGUCCAGAGAGACAGACAGAUUAAGGGGAUGACGGAGGCAUUGGGUCCAGAGAGACAGACAGAUUAAGGGGAUGACGGAGGCAUUGGGUCCAGAGAGACAGACGGAGAGACAGACAGAUUAAGGGGAUGACGGAGGCAUUGGGUCCAGAGAGACAGACGGAGAGACAGACAGAUUAAGGGGAUGACGGAGGCAUUGGGUCCAGAGAGAAAGCACGAGAGCGAGAGAAUGAAAGAUUGAGAGGGCAAGAGAAAGAAACCAAGCCUUGGAUGAGAGGCAGAAGCAUCCAUGGCAGAUUUCUCUCUUUGUCAUGAGGCAUUUCCCCUAUUCCUCCCAGGACCAUUACUCACUGACAGGCCUCUUUUGUGUUCCUCUGUGGCCUUCUCUGUGGUAAUGACGUGUGGCACAUACGCUGGCUCUGUGAACAGAGACAGUAAGAGUGUGUGUGUGUGUGUUUUUGGUUUUACUGUCCUUGUGGGGUCCAGAAGUCCUUACAAGAAUAAUAAAACAAGGACAAUUCUGGCAAGAGGGGACAUUUCACUGGUCCCC